rnacentral:tRNA from 2 species
GCCGGGUUAGCUCAGUUGGUAGAGCAAUUGAUUUGUAAUCAAUGGGUCGCGGGUUCGAAUCCUGCACCCGGCACCA